rnacentral:rRNA from 1 species
AUAUGUAGGGGGCGAGCGUUGUCCGGAAUGAUUGGGCGUAAAGGGCGCGUAGGCGGCGCGGUAAGUCUGGAGUGAAAGUCCUGCUUUCAAGGUGGGAAUUGCUUUGGAUACUGCCGCGCUUGAGUGCAGGAGAGGUUAUCGGAAUUCCCGGUGUAGCGGUGAAAUGCGUAGAGAUCGGGAGGAACACCAGUGGCGAAGGCGGGUAACUGGACUGCAACUGACGCUGAGGCGCGAAAGUGUGGGGAGCAAACAGGAUUAGAUACCCUGGUAGUCCACACUGUAAACGAUGAAUGCUAGGUGUAAGAGGUAUCGACCCCUUUUGUGCCGGAGUCAACACAAUAAGCAUUCCGCCUGGGGAGUACGGCCGCAAGGUUGAAACUCAAAUGAAUCGACGGGG